rnacentral:lncRNA from 1 species
CCUUAUAAGGCGCAGUGGUGAGGUCGUCUUGGAAGACACAGGCGAGUUGUUCCAGACUCCCACACUGAACAGGACCUCCUCCUUCCACCUGCGGAACAUUCCUAAAAUCAGGAACAUGUUGACUCAGAGCUGAGAACUGAAUCCAGAGUGGAACUACUGGAAUUCCCUGUUAUCAGGAACCAACAACUGGAUAACAAGUCUGAGUUCUGAGGAGGACCAGCAGGAGAACCAGCAGGAGGACCAGCAGGAGGACCAGCAGGAGAACCAGCAGGAGGACCAGCAGGAGGACCAGCAGGAGGACCAGCAGGAGGACCAGCAGGAGACCUGACAGGAGACCAGUAGGAGAACCAGCAGGAGGACCAGCAGGAGGACCAGCAGGAGAACCAGCAGGAGGACCAGCAGGAGAACCAGCAGGAGGACCAGCAGGAGGACCAGCAGGAGGACCAGCAGGAGGACCAGUAGGAGGACCAGCAGGAGAACCAGCAGGAGGACCAGCAGGAGGACCAGCAGGAGGACCAGCAGGAGGACCAGUAGGAGGACCAGCAGGAGAACCAGCAGGAGGACCAGCAGGAGGACCAGCAGGAGAACCAGCAGGAGGACCAGCAGGAGAACCAGCAGGAGGACCAGCAGGAGGACCAGUAGGAGGACCAGCAGGAGGACCAGCAGGAGAACCAGCAGGAGGACCAGCAGGAGAACCAGUAGGAGGACCAGCAGGAGAACCAGUAGGAGGACCAGCAGGAGGACCAGCAGGAGAACCAGCAGGAGGACCAGCAGGAGAACCAGUAGGAGGACCAGCAGGAGAACCAGCAGGAGGCCUGGCAGGAGAACCAGCAGGAGGACCAGCAGGAGGCCUGGCAGGAGAACCAGCAGGAGGACCAGCAGGAGACCCAGCAGGAGGACCAGUAGGAGGACCAGCAGGAGACCUGACAGGAGACCCAGUAGGAGAACCAGCAGGAGGACCAGCAGGAGGACCAGCAGGAGGACCAGCAGGAGACCCAGCAGGAGGACCAGUAGGAGGACCAGCAGGAGAACCAGCAGGAGGACCAGUAGGAGGACCAGCAGGAGGACCAGCAGGAGGACCAGUAGGAGGACCAGCAGGAGAACCAGCAGGAGGACCAGCAGGAGGACCAGCAGGAGACCUGACAGGAGACCCAGCAGGAGACCCAGCAGGAGACCCAGCAGGAGGACCAGCAGGAGACCCAGCAGGAGGACCAGUAGGAGGACCAGCAGGAGAACCAGCAGGAGGACCAGUAGGAGGACCAGCAGGAGGACCAGCAGGAGGACCAGCAGGAGACCCAGCAGGAGGACUAGCAGGAGAACCAGCAGGAGACCCAGCAGGACAAUAUGAGCUUCUCUUCACUGGUUCCUGUAAAUCUAGAACAGAAUUUAACCAGGAACAACCAGGAACCAGAUCUUACAGAGCUGUUAGUCCCAGACUGGUUCUCAGAGUGCUGGUCUGCUGGAGGUUCCUGGGUUCUCUAACAGUAGAACCUUGUGGAACAAGGUCCCAGGUUGGGUCUCUGCUUCAGACCUUCGGAGUCGGUAGAGCUUCAGGUAGAGCUGCUGCAGGACGAGCUGGAGCUGGAGUCCCUGCAUCGGGCUUCUCCUGUGUCCUUUCUCACUCGGAUGUGUCAACAACGUGUCUCUCUCGUCC